rnacentral:rRNA from 1 species
UGGGGAAUCUUGCACAAUGGGGGAAACCCUGAUGCAGCGACGCCGCGUGAGCGAUGAAGGUUUUCGAAUCGUAAAGCUCUGUCCUAUGGGAAGAUAAUGACGGUACCAUGGGAGGAAGCCCCGGCUAACUACGUGCCAGCAGCCGCGGUAAUACGUAGGGGGCGAGCGUUGUCCGGAAUUACUGGGCGUAAAGGGUUCGCAGGCGGCAUGGCAAGUCCGAUGUAAAAGGCGAAGGCUCAACCUUCGUAAGCAUCGGAAACUGUCAAGCUUGAGUGAAGGGGAGGCAAGUGGAAUUCCUAGUGUAGCGGUGGAAUGCGUAGAUAUUAGGCGGAAUACCGGUGGCGAAGGCGACUUGCUGGACUUCAACUGACGCUGAGGAACGAAAGCGUGGGUAGCAAACAGG